rnacentral:rRNA from 1 species
AGGCUCAGUAAACCAGUCAUGAUUCACGGAAAGUAAUCUGACUGAACUCAGAUGGAUAACUGUGGUAAUCCUAGAGCUAAUACAUGCAAUCAAGUCCCGAACGGGUAAAACUGUGACGGACGCUUUUAUUAGAUCAAGACCAAUCGCUUGUCCGGGUCAUGCCGCAAGCGUUGUCCUUGGUGACUCUAGGUAACACAAACGAUCGCACGGUCUCGUACCGGCGACAUAUCCUUCAAAUGCCUGACUUAUCACACUUACGAUGGUAGGCUCCAUGUCUACCAUGGUGAUAACGGGUAACGGGGAAUCAGGGUUCGAUUCCGGAGAGGGAGCCUGAGAAACGGCUACCACAUCCAAGGAAGGCAGCAGGCACGCAAAUUACCCACUCCCGGCACGGGGAGGUAGUGACAAAAAAUAACGAUACGGGGCUCCUAUGAGAUCCCGUAAUCGGAAUGAGUACACUUUAAAUCCUUUAACAAGGAUCCAUUGGAGGGCAAGUCUGGUGCCAGCAGCCGCGGUAAUUCCAGCUCCAAUAGCGUAUAUUAAAGUUGUUGCGGUUAAAAAGCUCGUAGUUGGUUCUGCGUGCCACGCUGUCGGUUCGCCGCCUGUCGGUGACACUGGCAUGUCGUGGCAUGUCCUGUCGGAGGGGUGGCGGGGCCUCGUGCGGGCGGCCGGCGGUGCGGCGUUCCACUCCGGUGGGCUCCCAUCUCGGCACGUCGGCGGGGAUUCAACUCCGUCCUCCCCGUUCCUACCUAGGUGCUCUUCACCGAGUGUCGAGGUAGGCCGACAAUUUUACUUUGCUCAAAGCAAAGUGCUCAAAGCAGGCUGAAAAAUUCUGCCUAUAUGAACAUGCAUGGAAUAAUAAAACAGGACCUUGGUUCUAUUUUGUUGGUUUUCGGAUCACAAGGUAAUGAUCAAUAAGGACAGGCGGGGGCAUUCGUAUUGCGGGGUUAGAGGUGAAAUUCUUGGAUCCUCGCAAGACGACCGAGAGCGAAAGCAUUUGCCAAGUAUGUCUCGAUUGAUCAAGAACGAAAGUUAGAGGUUCGAAGGCGAUCAGAUACCGCCCUAGUUCUAACCAUAAACGAUGCCAGCCAGCGAUCCGUCGGUGUUCCUCCGAUGACCCGACGGGGAGCUUCCCCCCGGGAAACCAAAGCUUUUGGGUUCCGGGGGAAGUAUGGUUGCAAAGCUGAAACUUAAAGGAAUUGACGGAAGGGCACCACCAGGAGUGGAGCCUGCGGCUUAAUUUGACUCAACACGGGAAACCUCACCAGGCCAGGACAUUGUCAGGAUUGACAGAUUGAUAGCUCUUUCUUGAUUCAGUGGGUAGUGGUGCAUGGCCGUUCUUAGUUGGUGGAUCGAUUUGUCUGGUUAAUUCCGAUAACGAACGAGACUCUCACCUAUUAACUAGACGGAACUCAGAGCCCCCGUCUUUGGCGAGAUAAAUCUUCUUAAGGGGACAGCCGGCUUAUAGCCGCAUGAGAAUGAGCAAUAACAGGUCUGUGAUGCCCUUAGAUGUCCUGGGCCGCACGCGCGCUACAAUGAAGGAAUCAGCGUGUGCCUCCUGGCUCGACAGGGCCGGGUAAUCCGCUGAACCUCCUCCGUGCUGGGGAUUGUAGCGUGCAAUUAAUUUCAUGAACGGGGAAUUCCCAGUAAGUGCGAGUCAUUAGCUCGCGCUGAUUACGUCCCUGCCCUUUGUACACACCGCCCGUCGCUACUACCGAUUGAAUGAUUUAGUGAGGUCUUCGGACUGGCGGGAAAUCUGUGCCGGGAGCAAUCUCGGUCGUGACGAACGCUGGAAAGAUGACCAAACUUGAUCAUUUAGAGGAAGUAAAAGUCGUAACAAGGUUUCCGUAGGUGAACCUGCGGAAGGGAUCA